UCUCAACCUUUUGUUUUAGCUUUUUUGUUUAUUAUAAUUAAUGGUUAAAUUUUGAUUUGUUUUAAUUUAGUGAAUUAUAUUUAACAAUGUUGCUUCUAUUAAAUACAAUAUAAAUUGUAUUGCUGUUAUUACAGUUAAGGCUUUUUUUGCUUGAAAAAUGCAACAGUUACUAACACGUUGGUUGAAAAGGGAUUACAUGUUUGCGGCACCAUGUUGAUCAACAUAAUCAUCUUUAGACUCAACAGUUCAUCGCUCUAAAUUAAUCAGUAUUCAUCUUGUAACUUGAUUGUGAUCCAUGAUUAACUGUAACCAGUAAAAAAUCUGGAACGAUUGAAAUCUGAAUUGGCUGAAACAUUUUGUGGUCAUGGAAGCAUUAAAUUGUAUAAUUGACUGGCCUGUUGUUGAUAAAUAACCGGACAAAAUGUACCAAUCACAAGAUAAAGAGUAACAAGAUCAAGUUAAUCAAGAUCAAUCACAAUUACUGUUAAAGGCUGAUCAAGAUGAUGCUGAUGAAGAUUGAAUAACCGGAUAUCGAAGUUGAUGGUUAUUAGAUUCAAUUGAAAAGGUCAACAAAGGUAAAUGUUAGCCUAAUCACCAUCAUAAUGAUAAUGAUGAUGAUCAAGGAUCAGGAUGAUAAUUACUGCGAUUUUGAAAGACUAAUUCAAGGAGUGUCUUUUUGUUUACCGUGUUAAUCAGCUGAUGGAAAAGUAUUACACAAUUUGUCUCUAGAUGAACAUUAAGUAUCAAUGUUGAAGAUUAAUUAACCGUUUUAAUCAAGUGAAAGUGACCUGACCUUAUAAUUAAUAUGGCAUUAAUGUGAGAGUUGUAAAUUGAUGCAUCACUAACUAAUGAUGUAUUUUAAGCGUAUUGACAACAUUGAUAUUUGGUUGCAAUCAUCACCAUCACAGUCAUCAUGUAAUGCAUGUUACACAUUAUCAUGGCUUCUGUAUUUGGAUAAUCAACAUUUCAUGAUCUCAAGCCUAACUGGAAUGGAUUUCCUUAGGAUCUUACAGGCAAAAGCAAAAAGGAUUCAAGUUUAAGGUUUUCUGCUUCAAACAAUUUAACCCGGUGAGAGAGUAAAUAAAGAGACAAAAGCAAAAACAAAAACAAGGACAACAUUUAUUAAGGAAACUGGUUUAGCCAUUUUUUUUCUUAUAUUCAUGAUACUGUACGGAUUGACAUGAUUUUGUUGUUACCGUAUUUAACAACAACUGCUGUUGAGUCAGUCAACUUAUUGUGGUUUACAUUUUAUCAACAGUAAUUAUUAAUCAUGAGGACGAUGUUGAUGAUAAUUACUGGUGAUGCUUGGUGUUUAUUUACCAGUCUAUUCAUUUAGUCUGCUGCUAAUGGUUACUUUGGGAUUCUGUUUGGCAGCCUUUCGAGGCUUGCCGUGAUUAACCUGUCCGUUUGUCGUCAAUUUUGGCUGUCUCGAUCCACCCAUUGAAAGUGUUGAAGCAUUUUUGCGAAAAAAAGGAGCAAACAAAUUGGAUGGUCAAUCAAAUAAUCUUUAGCUGAUCAAAUUAAAUGAAAGACACUGAGACAAUUUGUAUUUAUUUACCAAAAAUAGGAUUAAGAGGAUCAUUUUAAUCUUUAACAAGCUCUUGAAUUUUGAGGCUGCCAAUUUAACCUUAUAGAGGCUCAAUAUUGCUGCAAUUUAAAUGGAUAUCAAUAGAUUUUAAUCUGUUCAUGUAAAUGUUAACUCUAAACCACAACAACACCAACAGCACUGCCAACAAAGCUUCGUAACAGCUACCAAACAGCAUCUGAUUGUUGAUCAAGCAAGGAUUGGUAGCUGAUUGUAAUAUUUAUAUGUUAUGAGUGAGAGCAAAAGAGUGUCUGUUUAAUUGAAUUAACCACCAAAUUAAGUGUAAAAUUGAAAAGUGAAGUGAAAUUUGUGAUGUAAUAUGUUGAUAACUGUUGGAUAAGCCUAAAUCUGAACGGUGUUCAUUUAUAGUGACUGUUGAUUAAUUGUUGAUGGAAAUUAAUGGAGUUAACUCAGCUUAACAUCUUAAUCUUUUCUAUUGCUUAUUUACUCUGAGAAUUUAAUGUAAAUAAUUUAUCUAGAUCAACAUCAUAAUAAAUUAUAUUUACAUGUACAUGUAAUAUAUUUACACCAAGAAAUGGUCAAACAAUCAAACAAAUCUUUUUCACAAGUUCAAUCAAAUAAUUGAAGGCAAAAUUUUCAAAUUAUUUUGAACAAUUUUGCAUUUAAAACUCAACAAAUUGUAUUCACAUUUUUCAAUCAAAUGUGUUGACUUGGAAAAUACCGUUGGACUCAUCAAUUACUGGCUCGCAUAUCUCAUCAUUAAAGUUGACCAGUUUUAAUUACCAUCAUUUUGUUUCACAAUCAACUUGUAUCAAAAUUUUGUUGCCCUAAAUUCAAUUGGUGAAUCUAAAUUUGACUGCCUUAAGAUUGGAAUGAACGGAAAUCUCCAGUGAAUCUUGAAGAAAUUGAUGAUUAAAGAGGAAGAAGAAGGUGGACAGAGAAGAAGAUGAUGAUCAUGAUGAUGAAGAAGAGAGUUUAUUCUUAUAAUUCGUUGAACCGUAAAUUGCUUGGGCUUCUUCGCCUUCAACAUCACCAUCAUCAAGAUUAACCCUCAAGACAUAUUUUCACCCGAUUUUGUUUUACUUCUUGUUCAUCAUCUCUGCCUGUCAUACCUUAUUUAAACAAACAGGUCUUCAUUAUAAUAAUCAACGCAAUCGUCUUCCAAUAAUUCAACUUGUUUAGCCUGAAAGAUUUCAUAACGAUUCAUCUUCCUUGCGGAAGCAAAUCACCCAUCAUCCUUGUAUUAUCAACUCGCAUCUUCAAUUGGCUUUAAAGUGAUUCUCAUCCAUGUUGGUGGUUACAGACUGUGUCAAUGUGUCUUCGGAAUGAUCAAUGAAUGACCAAUGGUUUCGACUCUUCAAGAUCGAUUAUAAAUUUUAAUUGUGGCUGGUGUAAUUUAACAACUUUUGGCUUCUAUUCAAUUCGUUAAAUGAUUGAUUUGUUUGAUUAAACAACUAUUAAGAUUAGGCACUGAU